CUGUAUGUUUUUUAAACAGAAAUUAAUCUGCACGGGGCUCAAGUGAAAAAAAAACGCCACGCUUGCGCAAGGUCAGUUUACUUACUACAGGUAAUGGGUACUAUGUAGCCCGGCUAAUUUCCCAGUGUUGGGAAA
rnacentral:sRNA from 1 species